rnacentral:rRNA from 1 species
GGACUCGCACAAGCGGUGGAGCAUGCGGAUUAAUUCGAUGCAACGCGAAGAACCUUACCAGGCCUUGACAUCCUGUUGACCGGGCUAGAGAUAGUCCUUUCCUUCGGGACAACAGAGACAGGUGGUGCAUGGUUGUCGUCAGCUCGUGUCGUGAGAUGUUGGGUUAAGUCCCACAACGAGCGCAACCCUUAUCAUUAGUUGCUAACAUUAAGUUGAGGACUCUAAUGAGACCGCCGGUGACAAACCGGAUGAAGGUAGGGAUGACGUCAAAUCAUCAUGCCCCUUAUGGCCUGGGCUUCACGCGUGCUACAAUGGCUAGUACAAAGAGUUGCGAAACCGCGAGGUGGAGCAAAUCUCAUAAAGCUAGUCUCAGUUCGGAUUGUAGUCUGCAACUCGACUACAUGAAGGCGGAAUCGCUAGUAAUCGCAAAUCAGAAUGUUGCGGUGAAUACGUUCUCGAGUCUU